UACGGGGGGGGCAAGCGUUGUUCGGAAUUACUGGGCGUAAAGGGCUCGUAGGCGGCCAACUAAGUCGGAAGUGAAAUCCCCAGGCUUAACCUGGGAACUGCAUCCGAUACUGGAUGGCUUGAAUCCGGGAGAGGGAUGCAGAAUUCCAGGUGUAGCGGUGAAAUGCGUAGAUAUCUGGAGGAAUACCGGUGGCGAAGGCGGCAUCCUGGACCGGCAUUGACGCUGAGUGAGCGAAAGCUAGGGGAGCAAACGGG
rnacentral:rRNA from 1 species